rnacentral:rRNA from 1 species
UACAGAGGGGGCAAGCGUUAUUCGGAAUUAUUGGGCGUAAGGGCGCGUAGGCGGCUUGGCAAGUGGAUGGUGAAAUCCCUCGGCUUAACCGAGGAACUGCCGUCCAAACUGCUUCGCUUGAGACCGGGAGAGGUGAGUGGAAUUCCCAGUGUAGCGGUGAAAUGCGUAGAUAUUGGGAGGAACACCAGUGGCGAAGGCGGCUCACUGGACCGGUACUGACG